rnacentral:tRNA from 1 species
AUAUGUGCAUACUGUGCGUAUUGCCUCGAUAUAGCCUUAAUUCGCAAGCAUGGUAAGAAAAGUUGGA